AACGUAGGAGGCGAGCGUUAUCCGGAUUUACUGGGUGUAAAGCGUGUGCAGGCGGUACGGCAAGUUGGAUGUGAAAGCUCCUGGCUUAACUGGGAGAGGUCGUUCAAAACUGCCGAACUAGAGUGUGGGAGAGGGAGGUGGAAUUCCGGGUGUAGUGGUGAAAUGCGUAGAUAUCUGGAGGAACACCGGUGGCGAAGGCGGCAUCCUGGACCGAUAUUGACGCUGAGGAGCGAAAGCCAGGGGAGCAAACGGG
rnacentral:rRNA from 1 species